AUUGAACGCUGGCGGCAUGCCUUACACAUGCAAGUCGAACGGCAGCACGGGUGCUUGCCCCUGGUGGCGAGUGGCGAACGGGUGAGUAAUACAUCGGAACAUGUCCUGUGGUGGGGGAUAGCCCGGCGAAAGCCGGAUUAAUACCGCAUACGAUCUACGGAUGAAAGCGGGGGACCUUCGGGCCUCGCGCUAUAGGGUUGGCCGAUGGCUGAUUAGCUAGUUGGUGGGGUAAAGGCCUACCAAGGCGACGAUCAGUAGCUGGUCUGAGAGGACGACCAGCCACACUGGGACUGAGACACGGCCCAGACUCCUACGGGAGGCAGCAGUGGGGAAUUUUGGACAAUGGGCGAAAGCCUGAUCCAGCAAUGCCGCGUGUGUGAAGAAGGCCUUCGGGUUGUAAAGCACUUUUGUCCGGAAAGAAAUCCUUGGCCCUAAUACGGUCGGGGGAUGACGGUACCGGAAGAAUAAGCACCGGCUAACUACGUG
rnacentral:rRNA from 1 species